rnacentral:rRNA from 1 species
GUAGGGUGCGAGCGUUGUCCGGAAUUAUUGGGCGUAAAGGGCUCGUAGGCGGUCCGUCACGUCGGGAGUGAAAACUCGGGGCUCAACCCCAAGCUUGCUCUCGAUACGGGCGGACUAGAGGUAGGUAGGGGAGAACGGAAUUCCUGGUGUAGCGGUGGAAUGCGCAGAUAUCAGGAGGAACACCGGUGGCGAAGGCGGUUCUCUGGGCCUUACCUGACGCUGAGGAGCGAAAGCGUGGGGAGCGAACAGGAUUAGAUACCCUGGUAGUCCACGCCGUAAACGUUGGGCGCUAGGUGUGGGACUCAUUCCACGAGUUCCGUGCCGCAGCUAACGCACUAAGCGCCCCGCCUGGGGAGUACGGCCGCAAGGCUAAA